CUCUCAAAUUAUGGAGUUGAGAGACAUUGCAAGCAAGCUAAUUAAGGAUGCGGACAAGUGUUGUCAUCAACUGUCUUGAACACAAAGUGUUAUCUGUUGGGAUAAUCAACGAGGCAGUUUGAGAUGCAUCCAUGACAUCAACAGCAACUGCUUCCAUGCUUUCAUAUCUGACCUGGUUGUUAUGAAAUCGAAUGCAUAUGUUAACACAUGGAUAUCUACAUGUAACAGAUAAAAGUUGAUAGAAAUAUGCAUCUUUGCGGUUGAUGUGUAUUGGAAGAAAAGGAAGAUUCAAUGCAAGGAGAAGAUGAAUAGUAACAUAUAUUUUAUUAUUGUAUAGAACUUUGUACAUACAUUAAAUAUUUACAAGACAUGGGGGUACAAUAUUUAUACACAAAGCAUGAACCGUUUUUUCCUAUUGGAACAAGUGUGACCCUUUAACAAACGGUUAUGCCACUAAUUAACUACUAAACCAUAAACCGUCAAUCUACUUACUUCGAAUACUUUCCCUUAAGUUAGACACAACCCAUUCCCACUUUUUCUUUUAGAAGAUUAAAUGUUCCUACUUGAAGAGGUUUAGUAAAGAUGUCUGCCAUUUGCUCAUUGGUGUUGCAGUAUUCAAUAUCAACUUGAUGAUCUUCAACUA